AUACACUCUCCCCCCCUCUCUCCAAGCCGUCGCUCCCUCUUCUCUUCUUCCGCCUCCCUCUUCUCCUCUCUUCUCCCUAUCCCCAUAUCCUCUUCUUCUUUUUUUUCUUCGAGCAGCAGCAGCAACCGUGGACAGCAGCAGCAGCGCCAACAACCCCAACGCCCAGCAGCUUCAUCCGGCAGCAACAACUCGACGCCAGCCAGCAGCAGCAGCGCACGCAGCAGCAGCGCCUGUAGAGGCGCACGCCAGCAGCACCAGCGCACGCAGCAACAGCGCCUGUAGAGGCGCACGCCAGUAGCAACUCAAGGAAACAGAAGCCGCCGGUAAAGGCAGCAACCAGCAGCCCACCAGCCGCCUACCUCUCCCCUUCUCCCAUCGCUUCUAUUCUUCUUGUUCUCCCUUUCUCCGUCUCCUUUUGCAGCCAGCAACUAGCGAGACAGCAGCUCGCUCUUCCUCUCUAUUUUCCAGCGAAGGACGUACCAGCAGCAGAUCAAAACCAGCAACUCCGAUCAGCCCCAACAGUGACAGGUUUGGCCAUAUAUUCCGGCAAGAAUGACAUCGAAAUCCGGCGAAACUCAAAGAUGGAUCUUAACAGAUCCGUCCAGGUUCCAAACUUGAAGUUCAAGUUGAAGAUUAACUGAAGAAGGAUUUAUUUAUUUGUUUGAAUGUAUAUAUAUAUCUAUAUAUUUUUAUUUUUUUCGCUAUUUUAUUUAUUCGAAUGUUGUAACAAUUGUAACCCUAAAGAUCAUAUAAUAAAUUUAUUUGGGGGGUUGUCUAGGGGAGAGGGAUUUAUAUGCUCAUUUGUUCGUUAUAUUUUUUAGAAAUCAUGCCUAUAGGUUUGUCUUUAACCACCUAGAUUUAAUGUUUAUAGGUGUUAUAAUCUAAUCAAUUUUCAAUUUGCUUGACACUUUUGUUAAUGAAGUCUGAAAAAUAAUAAACUAGAUUCCGUUAAUGUUAAAAGCAAAUCAUAGUAACUUAAUAGGCCGAUUAGGUGUUUUAAUAAUGUUAUAAUUUUAGCAUCAUCUUGUCAUAUAGAAACCAUGUCUAAGGUUUAAUUUGUUCAUAUCAUUUACAAAAUCAUGCAUAUAUAUGUUACAUUGUUUUUUUUACAAAAUCAUGCAUAUAUAUGUCACAUUGUUUUUUUUUUUUUUAAAACACCUAGAAAUCAUGUCUAUAGGUUUGUAAAUAAUUUUUUUUAACAAAAUUUGUUUGUGCAUAUUUGUGCCCUCCCCUUAAAAUUAGUUAAUAUCAUUAGAAAUCCUAUUUGUCCUCUUGAAGAUUUCCGCAUUCAUUAUGCAACUUUUUUUUAUUUAGAAUCAUCUAUGCAUCUAGCAAGUUACUUAGUUUAAAAAUAUUUCAUAUCAAAACCUUGCAACAUAAUUCAAUCUUUCUUUAAAUUUUGGAUUGAUUAUGACUCUGCUUAUUUUUGAAAUAAAUUAUAAAGUACUAUCUCCUAACCUAUCGUUAGUGGGAAAGUCAAAGGAACUACGAGGUCUAGUUCCAAUUUUUUAAACCCGAUGCGUCCCCGGAAGUACCACUUCCCAUGAAUUUCAAAAAGAAUUAUGUGCAUUUAUAUGUAAAUGUUUAUGUGCCUACGUGUGAACUAAAUCCUUUAAAUCAUUUUUCAAAACAUAACUAUUUUUAGACCGACCUCAAAUCAAAAUUGUUUCUAUGGUGGAGGAGCGCGAUCAAUAAUAUCGUGGCAUCAUCCCUAUAAAGAAACAAACAUUUUUUUAAUAAAAAUUCCUAUUCAAAACUUAUCAAUUUUUAACUUUACUUUUGCAUAUACUAAUUGCUUAAUUUUUGCCCAAUUCGUCUUAUAACAUAGUCUCAUAUGCUUAAAUAAAAAAUAAAAUUUGAUUAUUUAUUUAUUGUCAUCACCUAGCCUUGCAUGCUUAAAUUAAUAGUAUUAAUUGUUUUAUAUUUGUUAUCACUUAGUAAGAUUAAAUAAAUUAAUAAAUUAAACAACCUUGAUUGCUACUUGUACCCCCACAUGGAUUGCAUGAGAUACGGCCGGGACCC